GUGGGCGAGCUCUCCUCGGGAGGAGGGAGCAGGAGAGCGGGCUCGGCUCCCGCUUGACGUGCGCUCCCCCCCGCGGCGAGGCGGAUGGUGCGGUCCGGCCCGCGCGUCCCGUUGCUAGGGGCGAGGACGGCAGCCGCCAUGGCCGGCUCGCUGGAGCCGGGGCGGGAGGCGGGAGCCGAUCUGGUGCAGGUUAAAGAAGAUCUUCACAAGCUUAAAGUCAAAGUGAAAAAUAUCAACUUGAAAGGAAAUGUAGAAACUGUGGAUAUUAGUGACCUGGAUACAGCAGUUGAAAGAACUGAAUUUGGGCUGAGAAAACAUGCUGAAAAUUAUUUAAAUGCUAUAAGCAGACAAGUGUUAACUAUUUCUUCUACUAAUGAUAACGAAGUACAGUCAAAAGAGCCCCCUAAAUGGGGCCUUCAUUUUGGUGCUUCUCAGAAACAGCUUAUUUUACCACGAGUACCUGUUGAGCCCGUGACUGUCCAGGCAUACAGCAAAUCAGCACUACGCGUUUCUCAAAGUUCACAGCAUCAGCUGGAAAUGGAUAUGAAAAUUAUGCUUGAUCCAGAGAACAUCAAUAAUAAAGCUGUUUUAAAACAACAGAACUAUGAGACCAAGCUGCCACUUAUAACGAAGAAAAAAUCUGAUCCUGUGUGUGGUCAGAAGAUAGUGAAAGGUCAUACAGGUGGCAGCCUCUGGGGUUUGCCUGCCUCUCACCGCAUGGAUUCUCCCUUACCCUUGUUAGAAGAAGAUGUAAUGAAAGGUAUUCUGAGCCUAACUGAGCAACGGCUUAUCCCCCCAGCAGCAAAGACAACUCUCCAGACACCUCCUGUUCUACACAAAGCAGCACCUUUCCAUGAAUUUCACAGGCAGCACAAGAAGUCCGCUGUAGGAGAGAUUAGUAGUAGGGUGGACCCUGAGAAUAGAGACACCACCACAUUCCAAAACUCAAAGGAAGCAAUUUAUGGCAAAUAUUCCUCUAGCAAAGGUGACGCUGCACCACUUCCAUCUAGCAGCUCCCUGGUUUCAGCAAGGAAAUCAAAGCCGGUGUGGACGUAUCCAGCUCAACAGUUGGAAUCUGAGCUGCAGAUUCCCUCUCAGACACAGCCCCCACAAAUGUCUCCAUGUCAGUCUUCACUGGAUCCGUGCUUUGACUGCGACAUUGCUGUUUAUCAUGGCACGGUAGACCAGAAAGCCCCAGGCUUUUUGGCAUUCAAGCAACAUUAUUGUUUAUCUUGGGGGAGCAUCGUCUCUUUUUUGGAACACGCAGAAAAGCUUCUCAAGGACUAUGCUGUACCGUUGGCUACAAUAAACUGUAGAAAGUUGGCGGAAGUUGCAUCAGACUUUGAGCUUAAUGAGAAUCCCAGCAAAAGUGACAUUCUGUCAGUGAUAAAGAAUCAGUCAACUGUGGAAAAGAUCUUAAAUCGACCUGGCCAAAGAUACAAAGGCCAAGGGGGUACUGAAAUGGCUGCCACAAAGAUCCAAGCAACAUGGCGAUGUUACCAAGCCAGAAAAGCCUCCAUCCGUUUCAGGCAGCAGCAGCAGUGGGCAUCAGGUGUGAUCGCCAUCUCUUGGCUCUUGCAUAAGCACAUGGCACGUGCGAAAAAGGCCCUGAAGGAAUCACGUCAGAGACACCUGGAGAAUUUUUACAUCAGGGCCAAGCAUCUGGCAGCCAACUGGAAUCGCAUCAGGACCUCCAGGAGGACUAUUAUCCAUAUCCCAUCAUUAGGAUAUUCCCAGUGCGUCCGUGAGCGUAUUCCUGAUCUUGCUCUCCGACAGAAUAUGCAGAUGGGAAGGCUGUGUGACAUACUGGAUGCCAACGUGGACGUCAUCUACAUCUGCCCCCUUCAUCUGAGUGAGGAGUUACUGCAGUAUUACAAUAAACUCCUGGGUCUGCAGGCAGCUGUUAGAUCUGGGAACCCUGAGGACAUGGGUGACCUGCAGGACAGGUUCAAAAUUCUCACCCCUGAAGCUAUAAACAGCUUCCCUAAGCAUCACAUGUGCCUAGCCACUCAGCUGAAGUACAGUCCCAAGACAAUCAAAAGAAUAAAAAUUCUUAUCCAGAAUAGAGAUGCCUACAUUGUUGGAGGGGUUCCCCACAAAGAUGAUUUAGCAGUGGCUGCCAUGCUAAAUGUGCCUAUAUUAGGCUCGGUGCCAGAAGUGGCUCAUCUCUAUAGUAGCAAGUCUGGAAGUAAACGAAUUUUUGCCAGUGCUUGUGUGGCAACCCCUCCUGGAGCAUCUGACAUCUACAACGAUGACCAGAUGAUUGGUGUUCUCAGCCAGCUGAUCGUGGACAAUAUGGAAGUGCGGCGUUGGUUGUUUAAAGUGAAUGAUGAAUCUGGAGGAAAUGGCACUGCCUAUUGUGAUAUUAUUUUGCAUUUGAAAUGCUUCCACUGGGUUCAAAAGGAACGUCAGAGAUACAGCCCUGAGAUAUGGAGUCAGAAGCGGGCCCAUGAGCCAGCUUUGGUGAAGAUCUCCCAGGAGCUGCCGGGCCUUUUAGCACAGCACGUACAGCCAGUCAAUGAGAAACGAUUCCCUACAUGGGAAAAAUUCCUCCAAACAUUUCUUAGUCAAGGUGGUGUGAUAGAAGCCUUCCCGCUCUCAGAAAAUGUCACAAACCUUACGGUGGAUGUGCUGAUAGAGCCAACAGGCGAGAUAAAGAUAGUGUCAUCUGGAGACCAGCUCCAUGCUGAAGGUCCUUUGCGGUCAUCUGGCACUACUAUUCCACAAUGUUCUGUUGAUCCAGCAGUUCUCAAUUCGCUCUGCUUAAAAAUUGGAGAAACCUGUAAAUCUAAAGGAGUGCUUGGCUACUUCUCUGUUGAUUUCGUGACUUUCAUCCAUCCACAAACCAUGGAGCAGCAGGUAUGGGCAACAGACCUUGACCUUUGCUAUAGUGACCAGCUGGCCUUGACUCAGCUCAUGUUGUACGUGACAGAUGGAAAUCUGGAUUGUCGCUUUAGCCGCUUUGAAGUAUCUCUUGGUUCAAAGAAAAUGAAAAGCCAACGUAUUCAGCACGAGGAGACAAAACCCCCUUCUCCAAUAAGCAACCGGUGUGCAGUAGCAAGCAGCCAACUGAGGCACUCCGGCCUUUCGGUAAUCUCCUACAGCGUUCUCCUCCGGCUGUGUAAAGCUCACGGUGUUGGAUUUGACCUCCAGGAAAAACAGGGAACAGUUUUUAUAUUGUACGGAGAUCAGAAGCGAUACAGAUUGGGAAUGCUGUAAGUACACGCUGCCGGUUCCGCAGCCUGAUGAACAGCUGGGAGCACGACGGAUGUGAGGAGGGUGACAGCAGAGCGCGCGCUGGCCGGGCUCUGCCAGGGGCCGGGAAGGAAAGGAACGACCCGACCACCACGCGCUCCAGCCCACCCGCUGUCACCCACCGUUCAGAAGAGUAUAAUGACUUCUUGUAAGAUUGGCCUUUUGAAAAGUUUCAGGGAGGCUUUAAGCGCUUGAGUAAUAAAAAAAGAAAAGUCCGGGAAUCUGCUUAGAUCAAAGCCUGACUGCGUUGCAGGCGAAAGACCUACUGCAACUGGCUUCACCGGGGCUAGAAUCGCUGGCAAUAGCACUCUAGCUGUGAGAGCACACGGAUUAGCACUGGCUUGCUUUUACAGGCAACAUUAUUAAAAACCUAACUGUACAGGAUGCAAAGAAGGUUGAAGUUUAAUGCCUUUUUAUAUUGUUCUUCACACAGUGAUCGAUGGCAGUCAGGCAACGGCAGAUCUGAUAGUUUAGUAAUUCUUUAGACACAUGAACUCCUAAGAAGUCUAAGAAAGCAUAAUCUGCACAAAUCUACUAUACACUGAUUGAAAAACCUCUCCUCGGAGAGAACUUAUGUAAAGUUUACUGCCAAAACAGGAUGUAAUGAGCGAGGGGCUGAAACGGGCUGUUCUGUAUUCCUUUGAUGCUGGAGCUGUUUCAUUAAUGACCUGGAUAAGAAAACAGCUUCCUCGAGUGCUGGAUGUGACUGCGGGUAUUUUGGAGGGCAGGAAUAGAAUUUAAAAUGAUCUCGACAAAUUGAAAGAAACAAUAUGAAAAAAUAGAAUUACAUUCAGGAACCAGGUGCAAGAAAUUCCACUUAGUAGUAAUGAAUAUGAGGAACAAGGAGCUUUGCGGAAAAGGAUCUGUGAGUUACAGUGGCUUACGGGCUGCCUGCGAGUCAUGGUGUCACGAUCUUAUGGAAAAAGGUAAACAAUAUAGCCUGGGAGAAUUGGAAGCAAUCCUUCCCUUCUACUCAGAGGGAGGCAAUGAAAACGUUUAGAGUUCGGGAAGGCACAUUUUACAAGGCAAGACCAAAGGGGCAGGGGGGGAGGAGGGAGAAGCGAGAUCUGCUAACAAUCCUUAGGCACAUAAAAAGCCUCUGCAGGAAGGAAAAAUCUGAUUUCUAUGUCUUUGGGAGUAGAACGAGAAGAAAUGAACUUAACUUGCAGCAAGGAAGACUCGUGUCUAGCGUAAGAUGGAAGCGAAGCACUAAUUAGAUUGUUCAUUGCGGUUGUCAUUGACAGUGUUUGGUACCAGAUUAGAUAAACCUCUGUCAGGAUGAUGUAAGUAGCGUUGAUCCCGCACUAGCACGGGGAACGGACUAAAUGAAUCCUAAAGAUUGUUUCUAGGGCUCCGAUUCUUUCAGCCUGUUCUGAGCUCCUUGUGGCUGGGGCUGUUGGUAGCAUACAAGUGCGUCGCGUUUGUUUAAAGCUUAGUUAUUCCUAUACUCCGCUGCACUCACCUGCAGUCGCAAUGUAGGCAGCUGACAGGAUUGCGCUGUAAACAAGAACUUGUAAAAUAUCUACAGGAACCACUGAAAACGUGAUUUAGGCAUCUGGAAGUGUUCCAUAAGCCAGUAGACUCUUCUAGGAGGCUUUCCUUCCCUGACCCCAACUAUGAAGUCCUCCUCCCUCCCCACCCUCCUUUCGCAUAGUCUCUGGUACUUUUACAUCUCUCCAGGAGCUGAUUCAGGUCAAUAACUCAGCAGAAAGCUUUCUUUUAUUGGACUGGUUUUCAGCGAGGCUGAGAUAGACUCGGUCCACAGAGAGGUAUAUAGUGAGCAUGAGCGUUGUGCGAGAUAGAUGGGGAGGAACCAAAGAGAAGAGAACAAGCUGCCCUUUUCAGAGUUGGAUUGGCUUGUCCCUGUGGGUGCGAUUGCACUUUGCUAGCCACGCGCCUUGGAAAACGGAGUCCUUACGUUAGAGGUAGCGCAUCCUACCUACGUUCUUCCUAACUCCUUUGGAGCAACACGUCAGUAGUUGCUCCCCUGGUAAGAAAUGGAACGAUACCUCUUGGAUCACCAGCUUGAAUUGGAAGUUACCAGAAUACUCUCAAAUAUAUUUGCCAUACGUUCUGAUCCCAGAGUUGUCUUCCAUCAGAUUUUCAAUGAGAUUUCAUUACCUUAAUUUGGAAAUAUUUUCAAGAAUAUAACAGUUUGAUCUUAUAAAAGCACUGAAAUACCUGAAACAUCUAUGUCAAUUAUCAUCCAUUUUACUACAUUGGAGAUCUGUUGUCCAUUCCAGUCAGUAAACGAGGUACGUUCUUCCUCAGCUAACAUCCUGUUCUGUAAGACCGUGUGUAUUGAGCGUCUGGAUGUACCACUGAGAAACCAAAGCCUCAAAAGCUACAACAAUCUCAGAAAUGCUGACACCACUGAAAUUUCUCUUUCGGAUGUCUUCCGUAAAUUGUAGGCAGAAGCAACAGCUCUUCUGAACUAAUCUGGGUAUUUAAAGCGUUGUAGUGUCUCAGUCCUAACUCAACGGUAGCCUUUUACUUGGAGUAGCUGAAACCUUACCACUUCUGCGAAGUUGAUUAAUAAAAAUUAUUUAUUACACAAAUCCUUUCUGUUGACAAGUUAAAAUGGAGCCUCAUCUUUCAUAUCUCCCUGAAGAUUGCCACCUUGUGAGAUUGAAAAUACUCAUUAAAUUCCAUCACCAGACAGGCACAAAUGAGAGGGCGAUUGUUUUUAAGCAUGUGAAGGGAAUCAUUGGUAAACUCAUUUGUUUGGAUAUCAUUAACAGAACAAUCGGAGAGGAUCUCCAGGGGGUCCUCGUGACCUUUGCUCGCAAUCUCUUCAUCAUCCAUCAAGAAAUAUCAGCACCUAAUAUGCAAGGCGAGACCAAUUUUAAGAUGGUAAUUCAAGAUAUCGAAGCAAUUCUAGGAAUUACAGCAGAAAACAAACUGAAAUUGGAAGAAGAGCAACCUUCGAAAGCAGAUGCUCUGAAAGAAUAGUUAACGGAAAAUGUUUAAAUGCCUUGUUCUUUAUGCUUCUGGAAACGCUUUCUCAUCUGUAAGAACAGGCUUGGUUUUCCUUCCGCAUUGGCAUGCGAAGUAACAUUAACUGAGACGGUACAUUUCCAUGGUUUCUGAGGGCGGUGUUCAGAAUAUCCCCCUUUCACAAAAAAAACCUGCUGAAAAGCAGAGGAGUCACAAUAAACGCCCCCGAUGCUCAUACCGUCGUUCCUGAAGUACAGUAUCUGGUGUUAAAAUCUCAUGAAUGGAAUACAUAGAGGGAUCAUGCUGUCUUUGUCACUAAACCGUAAGAGUCCUGUGACCCUAAAUUCCCUUUCAAACCGAUUGUCUUCUAAAAUACAGGCUUCCAACAUGAAAGUAGGUCCGAUGCCCCUCUGCCUAUAAAUAAAUACACUUAAAUGCCACCUUACCGCUAAGGCCAGCAGCCCAGAUUCCUCUACGGAACCGAUUGUCCGUAUUGUUAUCAUUCUGCUAUUUCUUUUGUUAUCUACAGAUUUUUGCAGCAGUUGUUUUAUGUUCACUUUCAAAUGAUCAAAAAUAAUAGUAAUGGCACUGUUUCAACAAUAGAUUCCGAGGGGACCAUUGGAAUUAUACUUGUACUACGAUUCCCAGUACACCGUGGCUUUUGCAGAUCUACCCGUCCAUCAGAUGGGUUCCGUAUUUCAGAUACUGCUGAUGGUUUUUGUUAGAAUUGUUAGAAUUGCUGUGUGCUGUUAUAUUUGUAAAAUUAUUUUGGUCCUUCAAAUCUCUAAUCAACACAUUUUAGAUGUUACUGUAGAAGAAUGCACCUUCUCCACUGGAUGGGCGCUUCUCUCCCAAGCAUGGCAAGUAUCUUCGGGGUUACUUCCCAAAAAGCUCAGGCAAAACCAGUUUUUAAGACAAAUAAUGAAUGUGACCAAGCAGUUGCAGAUCAGCAGCCAGUUUUUCCGAUGCCGAAGUCUCUGCUCCGUUAGCUUUAAACAUUACCUUUGGUGUUAGCCUUUUUCUCUGCUACUUUGGUCACGGAGGUAAUUCACUGCAGAUGAGAAUGUUUGCACAAAUGCUGACCCCCAUUUCAAAUAAAAGUCUAAAAUAAUAUUUUUGUUUAGUUCUUGUUUGGUUUUUUUUGUUCCUUUCUUCCAGGUAAUCUCCAUCUGGUCUUGGUUUUGGAUAUACCAGAGCCCACAGGGAUUUUUCUCAUGUGAAAUUUAGCCAAUGAGUGAACUUCCUGGAAGUCUUUAUUGCAUAUGGUUAGAAAGGAAAGCAAGAGA